UACGGGGGCAAGCGUUGUUCGGAAUUACUGGGCGUAAAGGGUUCGUAGGUGGCCAACUAAGUCAGACGUGAAAUCCCUCAGCUCAACUGGGGAACUGCGUCUGAUACUGGUCGGCUUGAGUGCAGGAGAGGAACGCGGGAAUUCCAGGUGUAGCGGGUGAAAUGCGUAGAUAUCUGGAGGAACACCGGUGGCGAAGGCGGCGUUCUGGACUGCAACUGACACUGAGGAACGAAAGCCAGGGAGCAAACGGG
rnacentral:rRNA from 1 species